AUCGUAAUAAGCUGUUGGGGAAACUCUACAUAUGCUGAAAAUCCCUUAUCCGCUGCAUUCUGAUAUCCGAAAAUCUUGAGAAAUAUAAGACACGAACUUCUCUCCUCAAUUGGUGGAGGAAGAUGCAUCCAUUUUUCUACUUGAAGAUUAAGUAGGUGAAUUGGCAGCUAGCAGGAUGGCUUAUGAGAUAAGUGAG